rnacentral:miRNA from 1 species
UGUAUUGCUGGAUCUAUUUCCAAACAUGUAAUUUCUUCUUAAUGUUUAGGGGCAGAUCUAUGAACUGGGGUGGAGGUGAAAUCUUAUCUCUUAACACUAUUUUUCUUG